AUGAUUAGUGGCGGACGGGUGAGUAACAUUUAGGAAUCUACCUAGUAGUGGGGGAUAGCUCGGGGAAACUCGAAUUAAUACCGCAUACGACCUACGGGUGAAAGGGGGCGCAAGCUCUUGCUAUUAGAUGAGCCUAAAUCAGAUUAGCUAGUUGGUGGGGUAAAGGCCCACCAAGGCGACGAUCUGUAACUGGUCUGAGAAGAUGAUCAGUCACACCGGAACUGAGACACGGUCCGG
rnacentral:rRNA from 1 species